GGGUAGGUGGCUCAGUGGUUAAGAGCACUGGCUGUUUGUCCAGAGGAUCUGGGUUCAAUUCCCAGAACCCA
rnacentral:tRNA from 1 species